rnacentral:rRNA from 1 species
UACGUAGGGGGCAAGCGUUGUCCGGAAUCAUUGGGCGUAAAGCGCGCGUAGGCGGUCCGGUAAGUCCGCUGUGAAAGUCGGGGGCUCAACCCUCGGAUGCCGGUGGAUACUGUCGGGCUUGAGUACGGAAGAGGCGAGUGGAAUUCCUGGUGUAGCGGUGAAAUGCGCAGAUAUCGGGAGGAACACCAAUUGCGAAGGCAGCUCGCUGGGACGUUACUGACGCUGAGACGCGAAAGCGUGGGGAGCAAACAGG